rnacentral:rRNA from 1 species
AUACGGAGGACGCGAGCGUUAUCCGGAUUCAUUGGGUUUAAAGGGUGCGCAGGCGGCCGUGCAAGUCAGCGGUGAAAGCCCGGGGCUCAACCCCGGAAGUGCCGUUGAUACUGCAUGGCUGGAAUGCGGUCGAGGCGGGCGGGACGUGGCGGGUAGCGGGGAAAUGGGUAGAUAUGCCACAAAACGCCGUUAGCGGAGGCAGCUCGUCAGGCCUGCAUUGACGCUCGGGCACGAAAGCGUGGGGAUCGAACAGGAUUAGAUCCCCUGGUAGUCCACGCCGUAAACGAUGGGCGCUCGUCGUCGGCGGCAGACAGUCGGCGGCCAAGCGAAAGCGAUAAGCGCCCCACCUGGGGAGUACGGUCGCAAGGCUGAAACUCAAAGGAAUUGGCGGGG